rnacentral:pre_miRNA from 1 species
CAUGCACCGGUGGGGUCCCUUGGCCUGGCCUGUGCCCUCUCGCAAUCCGGGACCCCUUGGGGGAUGUCAGAUGGCUGGUUUCAGCUUGAUCUCCACAGGCCAGGCCAAGGGACCCCACCGGUGCACA